AAAGUAUUUCAGAAGGGCAUUUCCUUAGCAUCUCUCUGUACCUCUCCCAUGCAUCAUAAAGGGAUUCACUAUCCUUUUGUUUAAAGCCUUGGAUGUCUAACCUU